CAUACUUCACCACUUUGGGCCUAUACUAACUUCAUCAGCCCAAUAAGACAAAACACAAAAACCCACUUCUCUUGUUGACUCUGUCUUUCUUCUCCUUUGUCGUUGACCUCUCUGUCACGACAUCUUCUUCUUUUUCACUUGCUUCUUCUUUGCUUUGCUUCUUCAUCUUCUGAAGCUUCUUCUUCUCUUUUGCAAGUUCAAUCAAGGAUACAAUUCCAACACUCCCUCUUGGAUCCUUGAUUGAAAUCCCCAAUUCCAAUUUAGGGAUUUGAAUCCCUUUGCUUCUUCUUCUUCUCUGGAAUCGCCUCUUCCCUGUGCGAGUCCCUUUCACGAUCUUUGGCACAGCUCACUAGGACACUUCAACUCUAGGGUUUUCCAUGUCUCCUCAAGUCAUCUUCUACGUGAGCUCUCCUCACGUUCUCAUUUAAUUUCUUCUCCGUGACCACUCGUCACGUCUCUUGCUCGGCUGACAUUGCAACCGGCUUCAGCUCCCACUGUGCUUACGAACCGCUCGGAUUCUCAACCUCAACAAGCAUCUUCAAGCUUCACCUUCACUGUGCCGGACAAGCAAGGAAUUUCGUUUCACAACUCUGUCUCCACCACCGCACUAUCUCCACAGCUUCUUCCAGAGAUCUCCUUGUCUUCUUGGAUGCUCUUGGGGCACCUUCUCUUCAUCUCUCUCACCAACCACUUACUUCAGUGGCUGCAAGAUCUUCAGCUUUGGUGGAGCUUCACACUCAGGUUUGCUCCUUCUCUUCUUCACGGCUUCUUCUUUGCCGACACACCUUCAGCAGCUUCUAGGGCUGCAUCAUCACUUCUUCUUUUUUUUUUUUUUUUUUUUUUUUUUUUUUUUUUUCUUUGCCGUCUUCUUCUCACGGCCAGCUCUCUUCUUCUUUGAUGGCUGUCUCCAUCUUCUUCACAGCUUCUACUUCCUUGGACAUCCUUUGACAGGCUCCAAGAUCAAUUCAAUCAAGGAUACAAUUCCAACAGUUCUUUCGGCGAGGUGAACGGCGUAGAAUCCGACCGAAGCAGCGAAGAGAGAGCGCCACGUGCCGUUUCGAUUCGAAUCUGCUGGAGAAGAACUCGGAGAUUCCUUAGCUUUUCGUGUCGCUCUUCGUCUCCGGUGACGGCAUUCGUAGGCGGAGCUUGUGCGGGUUGAGAUUCGGAUUUGGGGUCGGUGGAGGCUGAGAAGAGACGACAUGAGCAUGAUGCUGAGACAGACUCAGUGAACUUGACGGUGGCGUAACGAGAAGAUUUCGAAACGAGUCUUAAGCGAGUCACCAUCGUUGAGCUGCCGGAGAACUCGGCAAAAUUGAAAGACACCCAAAUCUUAACGUAAUAAAACCUUAUAAAUAAAACAUAUAUUUGGAAAAUUAAUGAAAUUUUGAAAUUA